UGUGCUUCUCCUGGCUGAGUACAUGGACUUAAGGCAUAGGCACGUUUCCCUCUCUUUGAACAGAGAUGGUGGAAUCCCCAGUUCCAGCACAAGGCUGGCCCGGGCGACCCUGGAGAGGAGGGGGUGGGGGGGCGUGGAAGAGGUGGG